GACAUGUCGUCCCUCCCUGCCACUUUCUCCAAAUCUCUACUGAAGCAGAAGAACAGUGGGUGUCAAGGGAAACGCAACGAGUUGCGGACAGGAAGAGAAGCGGUCAACGACAAAACUGCUUGUUUGACGUUUCAUGAACGCCGGCUUCCCUCAGUCUGCAGAUACUAAACUUUGGUGUCUGUGUCGUGUUGUGUGCUUACAGGGGUGGUGAGGUGUGGACUCUGAGUCCGACAUAUCGGCACUAGAGGGUCACUUUGACGUUGUCAUGUGUGCAGACUGUUUGUUUCUCGACCAGUACAGAGCCAGCCUGGUUGAUGCUAUAAGGAGAUUACUGCGACCCAACGGCAUGGCGUUGGUGUUCGCUCCACUGCGAGGGGAAACUCUCAGACUGUUUUGUCAACUGGCCCAGCAGGCCGGACUCUGUGCCUCUCAACACCAGCAGUAUGAUGCUCAGGUCUGGGAUGUUCACUUAAAGAUGCUGACGGAGGGAAAAGACGCAUACGAUGAGAACAUCCACUACCCUCUCCUCAUCACCUUGACCAAAGGACCUCAACCUGUCAGCCACACUCUGUAAACACAAACAAGUGAGCCCUCCGCUCUCCACGCUACCACUCCACUCCACAUACCUUUGGCUAUUUGAGCUGGAAUGAUGCCACAGAGUCAUGUCACCAAAGUGAUCCAAGACAUUCAUUGAAAGAGCUGUUUACGGAUACAUUAGGGUUUCGUUGGUCCCAACAGAGAGAAAAACUAAUUGUGGUCACAUUUGAGGCUUUUCGUCAUAUAGAUGAAGUGACCACCGGGAGGAUUUAUUAGCACAUGAUGCAUGGCUUGGAAAAACUAUUUGAGCAUGCAUGUUUUUCAGUUUGAAGUGUCGAAGAAGAACACGCUCAUGUCCAAAGCAGUGGGCGAUACGUUGACCGUGGCUUAGGAGGAAGACAAAGGGGAGGCGGAUAUAUUACAUCCUAGUUUCAACCAUCCGCCAUAUGCCAAAUAACUACAGCCCGUCACUCGGCCAGUCAGCCCUUAAAUCAGUUUGCCUCAUCCCUGCAGUUAAUCAGCCAUCCAAGAAAGUACCAGUCUAAGAACCACAUUGCCAAACAGUCAUCUGGCUGGCCAGUCAAGUAGCCAGUCUAUUGAAUUACCUAUUAUGGUAAUUAAUUAGCCAGUAAUUCAGUCAUUAUUCCAGCCAACAAGCCAGUCCGUUGUGUAGCCGGUUACAUGAACAUUUCCUCCGUCAGUCCUGCUGUAAGUGUCAGAUUGCCCUCUUUAACCUGUCAGCAUUAACCUAUGCUACUGUGUUUCAUGCCCCAGCAUGGAGGCCAGCUCUAAUUCAUUAACCAUCACAGACUGUGGAGCAGCUCACAGUGUCCUUUAAUUCUCUUUGUUCCCUUCUUCCCCCGCUUUAAUUUCUUCUAAUACAACUCGUUCAUCCCAGUCAGAGGUCAGUAUUAACUUCUUUUGUGAAUUUCUUACAAUAGUACAUUAACAUAUUAAGGCACGUCAAGACGAAGGAGCAGUUGUUGCUGCCCUGGAGCUACAGUUAGCGUAGCACGCAGCAACAUCGCAGCGGAUAAAGGUAGUCCACACUAUAUCCCAUUGUAAAUUAACUUUACACAGCUCUGUUGGUAGUUUGAAUUGGACGCGGCAAUUCCACCAACAUCAACUCAAACUCCUGCUCCUCAAACAAUCAGAUCCUAUGGCAGCUGCUAUACGCUCUUAAUCUGAACCCACCUUCAGGAAGUGUGUGUCUGAACAGAGAAUAUCAUGAGAGUAUCAUGACUCCUACUACUCACAUUGUAAUGACUACUGACCCCGAUACUGGUGGCAACAGAUUAAAAGAUGCAUGAUAUGCUGUACACAGCAGGAUUUUCUUUGCAUCUUUUUUUUCUGUUCUUCUUGUUUUGUGUACAGAGAUAUUAAUGGUCUCUUACCCAUAAUGUCCUCUUGGUGCAGACAAUCUGCUGCCAGUCUAGCUGGUGUGCCAAUGUCCACUGGCUCUGUGAGCACAUUCUCAAGUUUCCAUGCUUCACGGGUCUAUGAAGGGCUACAUUCACAUUUGAAUGUAUGCAAAGCCUAUAUUAUUAUGUAACGGUGCGUCCAUUUGUUAUUGAUUCAUUCUUUAAGUAUAUAAAGCAAAACUGUUUGUUUAUGUCACUUCUCUAAGUCUUUGAAGCAGGAGAAGAAAACUUGUUUUUUCUUUCUCCUAAUAUGCACUGUUGAAAAGGUACAGAUACAAACAUGGCACCGUAACUAAAACCCAACAUCUUUUCAUAAAAGAGCUGCUGAAACAUCUGGAAACAACAUUUGAAAACAUACUGCUUGAACAGUCAUACAACACAUCCAGUGGACAUGUUUAGAAUAGGAUUUCAUAUUGAUAGACUAUGUGCAUUCAUAGUUGAAAGUUUGCACAUGCUGCUCAUAACCUCAAGAGCAAAGACUUUUACACAUUUCAGACCAAUUGCUUCUCCAUUUCCCGUUUGCAUUUUUUUCUAUCGGCACAAUAAAUCGUUCUACUCAGGUCUUUUUCCAUGCAUUCAGCUGUUUCUUGUGGUAUUAAAGAAACGCCAAGUGUCAGUGGGCCACUGGAGCCCAACGUUGUACCUAUCACUAGUAAAGUGUUUCCAUAUUUCACUGUGAUCCAUUGUUUUAUACAGCAGCCAAGAAGCUAUGCAGUAUCUCCCUGUGGCUGUUUGCAUCCCUCUUGUUGGGAAAAUAAUCCACCUACACAAAUGAGAGGUAUUCCCUGUGUGUAACUGCUCAGAAAAGUAAAUUAAGCCAGUUUUAUCAGUGGUCUCAAUGCUUUGAGGACUUAAAUUGCAUUGCAAAAACGUCCCCGUUGCAGAAGUGUUGUUUAAUUACAUUUGUUAUCUGUAAUGCAGUUUGCUGUAUACCUUUGAUAUCUGUGGGCUAACACAUAAAUACCAUCCCGACUGAAUGUGUACAGUGACCUCAUCGCUGUCUAGUGCGACGUCACCACCGCUAUGAGCGAUGCCAUUCUGCAUCCCCGCGGCAUUGAGCGCCACUGUUAUCUGGGCUGCUGCUCCUUGCAACAUCACUGCCUCUAUUUGUGGCAACAACAAAAAAAAAAAGCUUCACCUGGUGGACCGAGGAUCUGCUGUGAUGUCACGUUUUUUUUUUUUUAUUAGACAGUGACGCCGUCACUUGUAGUCUUGCUAUUAGUGCUGUGUGUGCUAGGACUCUUCUCACUGUGACUUCAGACAACAGACAGUCAAGGAACCACUGAGGGUCAGCGUUAUUCAGAGAAGGUCAUGUGCUGCUGCUGAGAACGACCCUGGGCAAACGCCACGCAGGAAUGCUCUAAUACAACUGUAUCGUGGGAUGUCUCAGCGAAGCUAUUGUUUGGAUUAUCAAACGGAAUUCUUUGAAUUGUUGGUCACUUGCAGGCCAUGUACACACUAAUCCUGAUCAAUUUAAAGUUAGAUCUACUUGGAUCCUUCUAUCCACACCGAUUCUUUUUUUUCGGCCAGCAAAAACAGAAUAUAUAUAU